UCGCUACUACCGAUUGAACGGUCCGGUGAAGAAUCGGGAUCGUAGCGUUGUCCUUUAUUGGACAUUGCCGUGAGAACCUUUCUGAACCUUACCGUUUAGAGGAAGGAG
rnacentral:rRNA from 1 species